CCUACGGGAGGCAGCAGUGAGGAAUAUUGGACAAUGGUCGAAAGACUGAUCCAGCCAUGCCGCGUGCAGGAUGACUGCCCUAUGGGUUGUAAACUGCUUUUAUACGGGAAGAAAAACACCUACGUGUAGGUGACUGACGGUACCGUAAGAAUAAGGACCGGCUAACUCCGUGCCAGCAGCCGCGGUAAUACGGAGGGUCCAAGCGUUAUCCGGAAUCAUUGGGUUUAAAGGGUCCGUAGGCGGGCUAUUAAGUCAGAGGUGAAAGUUUGCAGCUCAACUGUAAAAUUGCCUUUGAUACUGAUAGUCUUGAAUUGUAGUGAAGUGGUUAGAAUAUGUGGUGUAGCGGUGAAAUGCAUAGAUAUCACAUAGAAUACCGAUUGCGAAGGCAGAUCACUAACUAUAUAUUGACGCUGAGGGACGAAAGCGUGGGGAGCGAACGGGAUUAGAUACCCCGGUAGUCCACGCCGUAAACGAUGGAUACUAGCUGUUGGAUUUUUUCAGUGGCUAAGCGAAAGUGAUAAGUAUCCCACCUGGGGAGUACGUUCGCAAGAAUGAAACUCAAAGGAAUUGACGGA
rnacentral:rRNA from 1 species